rnacentral:rRNA from 1 species
UACGGAGGGGGCUAGCGUUGUUCGGAAUUACUGGGCGUAAAGCGCACGUAGGCGGCUUUGUAAGUUAGAGGUGAAAGCCCGGAGCUCAACUUCGGAAUUGCCUUUAAGACUGCAUCGCUUGAAUCAUGGAGAGGUCAGUGGAAUUCCGAGUGUAGAGGUGAAAUUCGUAGAUAUUCGGAAGAACACCAGUGGCGAAGGCGACAUACUGGCUCAUUACUGACGCUGAGGCUCGAAAGCGUGGGGAGCAAACAGG